UGAAAAACAUAGCAAGUUAUCUGAGAGUAUUGCGAUAUAACGUGGGAGGAGUCAUGAGAAGUGAGAUGAGGUCUACAAGAGAGUUUCGAUGAACUUGGAAAAAGAGAAGAUUUGUGGUCCAAAAAAUUAUAUGUGUUGAUUAAACAUAUAGUUUAGUGUUUUUAUGUUGUUUUCAAUCGUAGAAGUAUUUAUUUUACUAUUAAAAUAGAAAUUAUUAUGAAAAUAGCAAAAA
rnacentral:lncRNA from 1 species